UUCUAACCCUACUUGCUAAUUUUUCACUUUCUGUCUUCCUCAGCACUCACUCUCGCUCAGACUCUCACUUCUCAGUGUCGACAGACGGAGAUGAAGACGAACCGGCGACGCACAACCUAGAGCCCGGGACCCUCGAGGCCUCGACCGCGACCUGGAGCCCUCGACCGUCGAGCCCUCGACUUUGAGCUCGCGAUGCUCGAGCCCUCCGCUCUCACCUCUCUCAGCUCUCCGCCCUUGGAAGCCGCCUCAGUCUCCCGGUCGCAACCGCCUCAUCUCCUCUCUCUCACGCUCGUAGACCUCCCCUCACAACUCAAGAUAAGGGUGCUGAGCUCGCUUGUGGUUGGCUACGGCGGAUGCUUGAUCUGAGUUAAGCUCUUGCUUGUGACUUGGGAGAAGGCUCUAUCUACUCUACUUCAGAUAUGGUCACUGGAGUCUUCUGUCAUCUGGGUUUUUCUUUUUUCGUGCGAGUCUUGUGCUUUAGAUACAUUCAGCAAAAAAUAGAUACAUUCUUGACAUUUGAGGUUAAGCCAUGGUGAGCUUCCCUGUUGGUCUUCCAUGGCAGAUUUGAGGUGGGUUCUUGCUCGUCUCAGGUGGCACCCUUUUGCUUGAGUUUGCUCUGUUCUUAGGUUCAGUGGCUGCAGUGGAAUGUUGCUGAAACUUGUCCUUUUUCAUAGACGGGUCCUGUGCAUUGUUAUCGGCAUUUCGAUGGCAUUUCGAUACAACGAUGAAUCUUGAUUUUGAUGUAUCUGGUGAUUUUGCUAAGAAAACAUGGUUUUACGAUGCUCCCCGUUGGUAGAGUGGAGAAAAUGAAUGAGGAGAUACAGUCUAAGCUUCCUGGUGCUC